rnacentral:rRNA from 1 species
GAUGAACGCUGGCGGCGUGCCUAAUACAUGCAAGUCGAGCGAACGGACGAGAAGCUUGCUUUUCUGAUGUUAGCGGCGGACGGGUGAGUAACACGUGGAUAACCUACCUAUAAGACUGGGAUAACUUCGGGAAACCGGAGCUAAUACCGGAUAAUAUUUUGAACCGCAUGGUUCAAAAGUGAAAGACGGUUUUGCUGUCACUUAUAGAUGGAUCCGCGCUGCAUUAGCUAGUUGGUAAGGUAACGGCUUACCAAGGCAACGAUGCAUAGCCGACCUGAGAGGGUGAUCGGCCACACUGGAACUGAGACACGGUCCAGACUCCUACGGGAGGCAGCAGUAGGGAAUCUUCCGCAAUGGGCGAAAGCCUGACGGAGCAACGCCGCGUGAGUGAUGAAGGUCUUCGGAUCGUAAAACUCUGUUAUUAGGGAAGAACAAAUGUGUAAGUAACUAUGCACAUCUUGACGGUACCUAAUCAGAAAGCCACGGCUAACUACGUG